rnacentral:lncRNA from 1 species
GCUCUUCUUGAUAACAAAACGCCAAAGGGCAAAUUCUCAAUCAGUGAAACAGUCAAACGAUCCAGCUUUCCAUCACAUGUAAUGCCUUGUUAGGCCAAACCCUAGUUUCACCUCUUAAAACUAUUCUGUAUCUGGCUGCAGGUGCUGUGUUCCCUGCGCUCCCAUGUGCAGGACUAUCUGGCUGCAGUCAGUAAUAUCGCGUGCUGGAGUUACUGGAGCUGUACGGAAAACUUGGGGUUGAUACAUCAUGUAUGAACCUUUGACAGGUCUAGCAGUGGACUAGUGGACUUUCCUGACAUCUUCAGAGGUUUCAUCCUCCUGGAUGCUGUGCUCCUGUGAACCACUUCUUUGCCCUGGUCAGAAGGGCUGUUGGUCAGGCAGCGAGGUUCGUGAACUGCAGCAGUUCCCCCUAGUCCAGCAGUUUCCUUGGUACACGCACUGGCUCCAUUGCUGCUGCGCUGAUGCCAGAGGUUGGGAAAACAACAUUUUGAUACGAAUGGAGAGACUCUAG